rnacentral:rRNA from 1 species
UACAGAGGUCCCAAGCGUUGUUCGGAUUCACUGGGCGUAAAGGGUGCGUAGGUGGCCAGGUAAGUUUGAUGUGAAAUCUCCGGGCUUAACCCGGAAAGUGCAUUGAAUACUAUCUGGCUAGAGGGUUGGAGGGGGGACUGGAAUUCUCGGUGUAGCAGUGAAAUGCGUAGAUAUCGUAAGGAAGACCAGUGGCGAAGGCGAAUCUCUGGACAGUUACUGACACUGAGGCACGAAGGCCAGGGGAGCAAACGGG